GAUGAACGCUAGCGACAGGCUUAACACAUGCAAGUCGAGGGGCAGCACAGGUAGCAAUACCGGGUGGCGACCGGCGCACGGGUGAGUAACGCGUAUGCAACUUACCUAUCAGAGGGGGAUAACCCGGCGAAAGUCGGACUAAUACCGCAUGAAGCAGGGGUCCCGCAUGGGGCUAUUUGCUAAAGAUUCAUCGCUGAUAGAUAGGCAUGCGUUCCAUUAGGCAGUUGGCGGGGUAACGGCCCACCAAACCGACGAUGGAUAGGGGUUCUGAGAGGAAGGUCCCCCACAUUGGUACUGAGACACGGACCAAACUCCUACGGGAGGCAGCAGUGAGGAAUAUUGAUCAAUGGCCGAGAGGCUGAACCAGCCAAGUCGCGUGAGGGAUGAAGGUCCUAUGGAUCGUAAACCUCUUUUAUAAGGGAAUAAAGUGCGGGACGUGUCCCGUUUUGUAUGUACCUUAUGAAUAAGGAUCGGCUAACUCCGUG
rnacentral:rRNA from 1 species